AAAAAGCAAAUUAAGGGCGUAUGGCGGAUGCCUUGGCUCUCAGAGGCUAUGAAGGACGUAAUAAGCUGCGAUAAGCUACGGGUAGGAGCAAAUAUCCUUUGAUCCGUAGAUUUCCGAAUGGGGAAACCCGGCUAGUUGAAGACUAGUCAUCAAUUGAAGCCAACCUGGUGAACUGAAACAUCUAAGUAACCAGAGGAAAAGAAAACAAAAGUGAUUCCCCUAGUAGCGGCGAGCGAAAAGGGAACAGCCCAAACCAUAAAUGUUUCGGCAUAUAUGGGGUUGUAGGACUGCAAUGUGGACUGUUAAUUUAUAGUGGAAUAAUCUGGAAGUUUAAUCAUAGAAGGUGAGAAUCCUGUACACGAAAUAAUUUAACUACCUAGCAGUAUCCUGAGUAGGGCGGAACACGUGAAAUUCUGUCUGAAUCUACCAGGACCAUCUGGUAAGGCUAAAUACU
rnacentral:rRNA from 1 species